AUGGCAUAUGAAUACCAGGAUAGCUUUAUAAAGCAGUUAGUCACUCUAGUGAUAAAUCAGGAAAUUUACACACACACACAAGUAACCUGUAACUCUCAAUUCCCUGAAAAACUAGUAAUACUGUCUUAUCUGCUAUAAACUUUACAUAUUUGUCUAUUGUCAAGAUGCCACAAUGGAAACCAUUUCUGGUUUUAUCUUCAAAGCAGAGAAACAUGUUGAUUUAGUCUUCUUUCCCAAUCUUCUUUUUUAAACCAGUUUAAGGAACUUCUGGAGAUUUGUCCACCUCUGAUUACAUGUAUGUUCUUGUUUAUAUAAUUAGCAACAACAUGCUAAUGACGACACCUAGCUCUAAGAGCAAUUCUGGGAGAAUGAAAGGAAGUAUAAAGUAACCCAUAAUCUGCUUGGCAAUAGUUAAGUCAAUCUAUCUUCAGUUUUUCUCUGGCCUUUAAGGUCAAACACAAGAGGCUUCCCUAGUUUACAAGUCAGAGUCACUUGUAGUCCAUUUAAAUGCCCUCAUCCGUAUUCUUUGUGUUGAUAAACUGCACAUGACUACAUAGUAAGUACAGAACAAUAAAGUUAAAAUGGAUGUCUCCAUUGAUCUGCCAAAUUGUUAUAGAGAGCAAUUUGUCUGGACUAGAAAAUCUGAGUUUUACACCAUACUGUUAAGAGUCCUUUUGAAUUAAACUAGACUAAAACAAGUGUAAAACUAAACUAACAAGAUUAAACAUCCAGCCAGUACAGUAUUUUUUAAGGCAAAUAAAGAUGAUUAGCUCACCUUGAGAUAACAAUCAGGUAAGAUCAUAACAAUGUCUCAUGAUGUAAAAAAUAUUAAAGAUAUCAAUACUAAGUGACAGUAUCACUCUAAUAUAAUAUGGAUCACAGCAUUUAUUUUGGGGAGGAAAACAGUGGUGAUUACCGGCAUUCUAUUAAACUUAAAACUUUGUAGAAAGCAAACAAAAUUGUUCUUGGGAGAAAAUCAACUUUUAGAUUAAAAAAAAUUUUUUUAAGUGUCUAGGAGUAUUUAAAUCCUUUUCUCAUAAAUAAAAGUACAAUUUUCUUGGUGGCAGAAUGAAAAUUAGCAACUUCUAGCAUAUAGACUAUAUAAUCAGAUUGAUAGCAUAUAGAAUAUAUUAUCAGACAAGAUGAGGAGGUAUAAAAGUUACUAUUGCUCAUAAUGACUUACAGGCUAAAAUUAGUUUUAAAAUACUAUAUUAAAUUCUGAAUGCAAUGUUUUUUGUUCCCUUGAGACCGAAAUUUAAGUUAACUGUUGUUGGCAGUCUAAGCGUAAAUGUUAAUAGCAGGAGAAGUUACGAAUUGAGCAGUUCUGCCACAUGAUUUCCCAAAUGAAAUACUGCCUUGGCUAGAGUUUGAAAAACUAAUUGAGCCUGUGUCUGGCUAGAAAACAAGCGUUUAUCUGAAUGUGAACAGUGUUUCAAAGGUAUGUAGUUACAGAAUUCCUACCAAACAGCUUAAAUUCUUCAAGAAAGAAUUCCUGCAGCAGUUAUUCCCUUACCUGAAGGCUUCAAUCAUUUGGAUCAACAACUGCUACUCUGGGGAAAGAGUCCUCUACUCACAGCUGAAGAAAAUGAGCACACCCUUCACACUGUUAUCACCUAUCCUGAAGAUGUGAUACACUGAAUGGAAAUAGAUGUAAAUAAAAUUGAGUUCUCAUUUAA